rnacentral:rRNA from 1 species
CAGUCGCCGCGGUAAAACGAAGGGUGCAAGCGUUAAUCGGAAUUACUGGGCGUAAAGCGUGCGUAGGCGGUGAGUUAAGUCUGCUGUGAAAUCCCCGGGCUCAACCUGGAAUGGCAGUGGAUACUGGCUCGCUAGAGUGUGUCAGAGGAUGGUGGAAUUCCCGGUGUAGCGGUGAAGUGCGUAGAGAUCGGGAGGAACAUCAGUGGCGAAGGCGGCCAUCUGGGACAACACUGACGCUGAGGCACGAAAGCGUGGGGAGCAAACAGGAUUAGAUACCCCAGUAGUCCCUGUCUCUUAUACA